rnacentral:rRNA from 1 species
GCCUAGCCCUAAACCUUGGUAAUAUAUCACAUACCCUACCCGCCUGGGAACUACGAGCACCAGCUUAAAACCCAAAGGACUUGGCGGUGCUUUAGACCCCCCUAGAGGAGCCUGUUCUAGAACCGAUAACCCCCGUUCAACCUCACCCCUCCUUGUUUAUCCCGCCUAUAUACCGCCGUCGUCAGCUUACCCUGUGAAGGCCUAAAAGUAAGCACAACUGGCACAACCCAAAACGUCAGGUCGAGGUGUAGCGCAUGGAGGGGGAAGAAAUGGGCUACAUUCCCUAUAAUAGGGAACACGAACGGCGCACUGAAACACGCGCCUGAAGGAGGAUUUAGUAGUAAGCGGAAAAUAGCGUGUUCCACUGAAAUCGGCCCUGAAGCGCGC